CGCGUAUAAUUCUGGCUGGUUCUAAUUAGUAUUCGGCUGUAGCGCCACAAACGAUAGUUAUUAUAAUCGGUUGCGUCACAUGAGCCGCGUGCUAACUAGAGCCAGGAAGACUUGCGGUUCAUUUUCCAGCUGGUAGAGGAGGUGUCCUAAUUAUCACCUGCAGUGGUGAUUCAGUAAAAUCGUAGCCAGACACAAAAACGCAUUUUUGUCAAAUGCCAAUCUUGUUUGCUACCAGUUUCGUACACCAAAAUAUCUGUUUUAACAUCAUGAUUCAACCAUCCCAACCACGAUAUUUCAGCGUCAAUCACCAAUAUUUCCCAGCAGCAACAAAUUAAGACCAUCAUCCGUCCGAUCGUUCUAACGGCGGUUCUGCCAAAGGAUUUGACGUUAAUUAAAUAACCGCUACUAGAUGACCAUUGGCAAACAGCACAAGCUGCAGCAGAAACCACAAACUGGAAUAUCAUCCAGAUUCCGCAGCAGCAGAUACAGCAACAGCACCUUGAGGUACACACAACAGCAACAGUAUACAGCACAGUUCUAAGAAGCGGGAGCAUCUGAGGAAUCACUGUUCAACUUGUGUAUCAGCCGUAGCCAGCUAAUUUUUUUAAUUUCAAGAACAUCAGUACCUUGAUCAAUCGAAUUGGCCACAAAUCGCUCGACAGCAGCAACAGGACACCAAACACAACGGCAAGGUGCUCUGAACAUUUUCUGUCAAAACACGUUCUCCAGACAAACGGUAAUCAAGGGUUGGUGGAAUCGCAGAUCAUGCUCACGAAGAAAACUCGCAGCUCAUUAUUAUCCCAUUUUAUUCCAACAGCAAAAUGAAAUCAAUGAAUAUUGAAAAAAAUGUAAAAGGGAGUAUAGUUGUUAUUGAUAUGGAGAAAUGAGUUGAAAUGAUUUGAACGAGAGGUCAGAGACGAUAUGGUGAAAGAAUGUUAGUGUAGCAUUCUUUUCUAAUCCUGCUUAGAAAGGUGGCCUGGAGUAUGAUUUUUCAUGUCAGUCAGCUUGCUCGGUUUAUGCUGCUUAGAAAUAACGGCAAGUGAAGUGUAUAAAUGGAUAACAUGCAAGCUAUUGAACCGUCUCAAUUUGUGUACCUUUUUCGUGCUGAACAGUAUCUUAGGGUGCUUACAGAGUGGCGGCGAGAAGCUGAGCUGGGGCUGGAACUGACAUUAGAAUGCGAGAUGCGAGAAACCUGCUUGCUGCAAACCAAAGGGAUGAUGUCAGAGUGAAAGCUGAGCGGAUCGGCGCCGACUGCCUUCUUUUACUCUGACGGGUUUCAUUUGAUAUACUGCAAGCAGGUUUCUCGCAUCUCGCAUUUUACUGUCAGUACCAGCCCCUGCUCAGCUUCUCGCGGCCACUCUGUAAGCACCCUUACUGUUGCUGUGACAAGAUGAUUAGUACCUAGGACAAUAGUACUGUACAAUGCAAUUCCCAAAUCAAAAUGCUGGCACACUAUUGGAAGUGAACAAAUCCGCUGCGAAGAUCAAGUAUCCAUUAUUGUUCAGCAAUGAUGGUCAGUUAAGCGAUUAGUGCCUUAUUCGAGACUCACGAAAUUUCAAGAGUGAAUAAGAUCUUUCCUCGCGUGCAAUUUGAAAAGGGCCAAUAAACUGUUUAAAGUCACUUCCACUAGAAUCACGGCAGGAUCCUUACAAGAAUUAUUGGACAUUUCACACCCAAUUGAACUAUCCCAUAAGUGUACACACUACUGCAAAUGCAGGUUUACAUUGUUUUAUCUAGGAAGUGUCAGUACAUUUGUUGUUAGAUGUAUAACAAUCUCUGCACCUUAACCGAUUUGAUAUAUUUAGUUAAUCGUGCACUUUUGCGUCAGCUACCCGGUCAGCGUGGCAAGCAGAAAGUUAGCAAAAGUUGAGCAAAGCGAAAUUGAUGCUGGCAGAGUUUCUGCGAGCAUUUUGCGAAAUUUGUACGAGAAUUCUGGCAACGAAUUCGCUCAAAUGCAACAACCGUUUCUGACAGAAGCGGUUAAACCAACCGAUGCUGCUCACUUUUAUUCAGAAUCGAGCCAGAAAUGUACGGCUAAGAUCUCUGCACGCUUCCUGCCACAUCUUUGUCAGAUGUUUUGCUCGAUUCGUGCUAAAUUCUACUAGGUAGGAAUUGCCAGGAUUUUUGCACAGUUUAUGUCCGAGUUAUUCCAGGGUUUAGCUCGGUUCCUGUCAAAAUUUGCCAGAAAACGCGAGCGAAACCAAGUUCGCCCUAGCUCAACUAACCCGACAGGAUACGCGCAGAAAUCUGACAGGGCUGCCAAACCAAGACUUACAGAAAUCUAGCAGAGCGGUCUCUGCCAGAAAAUUUGCUCACUGGGUAAGUGUGCACACUUGUCUGAUAGUCCGAUUUGGUAUGAAAUGUGCAAUCAAACUAAGCAUGAAAUUUUGUUUGCUGUGUGAAUAAAUAUUUCUCGAGUGAUUUUGGAAAAAAACCAAUUAUCUAUCCCUAUGUGAAAGACUUUGAGGGGUAAUCCCGGAUCAAUACUAACGAAAUUUUGUAAUCAUUAUUUGAAACUACGCAUGAUGUGAUUGCUCGCUUUAUUAAUAAACACCUAGUUAUAUCAAGUUUUGAAAAUCUCGUUAAUAUAUGCUUGUACCGUUUACUCUCGCCGUUCCCAGGAAAUUCUGCCUGGUCUUUUUAAUCUCGCUUAAAUUUUAUUGUACUAAGAUUAACCCAAGUGUUUUAACCACAGAACAGACGUCCAUCUUCAUCAUUCAACUUGUGUAAAAAACCCUGUUUCGAAGGUAGUUGGGACAUCUUCGCCAGGUGUGCUAC